CCAAACAUUGGGGCAAGUGACACAAAUACAGAGAACUGAGGGAAACUACUCAAAUCAGUGGGAUUUCAUAUAAGUUAAGGAUGUUACGAAGCUUUAAGAUGUCCCAAAAGAUUGGAAAGUCACAGGUGUAAAACAAAACCAAAGGCAAUUAAACAAAACCUUUGUGAUAAUCCCAUGUGAGUAUUAAUCACACUGGGAUGCUGUUGUCAACACUUCCCCAAGCAAGUCCUUUUCUCUUUAGCAAGGAUAGACAAAAACACCUUCAGGUAUUGCAGAAGUCAGGAGGAGAACAGCACAAGCCUCUUGGUCAGAGCCAUUAACUGCAGCACAGAAUCCUUCUUGAGAAAGUAUUUCUUUUCCAGGAUCUUAUUCUUCGACUGUAGUUUGACAUCUAGCAGCAGCUCGUUCCACAUACAAAAUAGUGCUGUAAUUCACGAGUUUUCCCACUGGAUGUCAUCGUUGCCCCACAAGAAGCCAGUCAGCGCGAUGAAGACAAAUCAACCCCAAGCCCUCCAUGCUCUGGAGGCCUGAUUUUCACAACAGCUGAGCACUCAGGACUCCCGCUGCAAUCGGCAGAUGCCACACUGCCUGGAAAUCAGCCUCUGUGUAACUGUGAAGUGCCCAGACUGGUAUUUGCUGAUUAGCUCUGCUGCUCCUGCCCUACUAGCUUUGUCUGUCUCCUACUUGAGGUCCUCUUCAGACUUCUGCAGUUCUUCGGGGUUUUGGCAAAGAAUUCAAAGUAUGCAGUCCAGCUCCUGCGAUAGGCCUGUUUCAUCUAGAAGUGAAGAGAAAGCCCCUGAGAUGUCCGAUGCUUCCAUCCAGACGGAAGUGCUAAAGAAGGACAGACAGUAGGUUGCAACAAGUGCCCAGACCCUUCUCCUGGAGAAAAGCUUUGGGCUGACAGUUUCCUGAUUCCAAAGGCAAUGGAGCCCCUGACAUAAAGCAGAAGAACAAUGCACAGUUCCUGUAAAACAACAGUGCUCCCCCCGCUGCUGUCAGAAUGCAGGGAUUAGAUGCAGAAUAAUGCAGUCCCUGAUCAAACCUGCAGCUGUAAUUCAACCUCUGGACAGUGCUGAUGCCAUAAAUUUGUGAAGAAAGUGCAGCUCAAGCGAUUUGUGAACAAGAGCUGGAUACUCAGAAGAAGGGGAACAGUUCAGCUGAAUCUGAAGCCAGCACAGCCCAUUGUUUUGGCAUGAAAUCAGCAGAAUGGUAACUAUAAGCACCACGGACAUAUUAUAAUCAAAUAAUCACAUGGAACCCUUUCUGAGCAAGUCUUCCAGUUUCAGCACUGAGUGGUUAUUCACUAUUGAAAGGAAAAGCAUAAUUAACACUAAAUACUCAUUUAAAUAGAAUAAUGUUUCUUGCUGUUUCCCUUGCUAUUUUAAUAUCCUUUUUAAUAUUGCACUGUUUCUACUGGGACCAGAGUAAGGCAGAGGGAGGUUAAGAAAAGUGGUUUAUGAAGUUCAUCUCAGAUAUGGAAAUGUAAGGAAAGAGAUAGGGAAAAUAGAGAACUUGAGUAAGGAACACAAAAUGGAUGAGCAAGGGAGUACUCACAGCACAGACUGCACAAGUUUUGCAACUUGUAAUAUGAAUCUGCAAUUCAGAGAUGAUCAGAGAAGCGUGGAAGGUCUGAGACUUGGGGUGUGCAGCAUGGGCCACGCAAAUCAGACAGAGUACUGGAGAGGUGCUGAAAAAUGCUCAGGCUUUUGACUUUACAUUUAUUUUACAGAACGUAAAUCAAUAUCUCUUCACCCCAGUGCACUUGUAUCAUAUGGCUUUCUGUUACAAGGCGACCAGGGCUUGAACAUGUCUCUUCUGAACUGAAAACAGCUUAAUCCAAAGAGAUUUUUUUCCUGCAGAACGUCUAAAGCACUGUAUUACCUUAUGCCACAGGGUGAUGGAACCCAACCCAGUAUUUUAUUGUACAACUUGGGAAUCAGCAGCUAGAAAUGAUCACUAUUCAACAGUAAAACAUGCAAAUUGAGUGGAAAUUCAGUGCUAUUUUCAUAUAUUAAACUGUUUUGUUAAACCAAA